AUAUUUAGCGCCAGAACAAGUGAUUGUUGACGAGGUUGGUAGUUAUCGAAAAUUCGGCGGAUGCUACUACGGUUAGUAUAAUCGUAAGGUAUAUUUUAAAAAAUAAAAUCAAAAUUAUAACAGAGAAUAUACCAUAU
rnacentral:ncRNA from 1 species